GGACCGCCCCACCUGCCUUCCCCAGCUUCCCUCCCUCUAGCAGAGUCCCAGGUGUUCCCCCUCGGCAUCCCGGACUCAGCUACAAAACACAGGCCUGGGGUGUUCUCUGGGAUGGCUAGAUCCGUCCACCCUGGCUUCACAUCAGAAUCAUCUGGGGACCCUUAAAAAAUACCGAGGCCUGAAUCCCACUCUGGGUCAAUUAAAUCAGAUGUUCUGGGAGGGGCCUGUGAUUUUUGGACGAGGAGACCGAGGUCAUGAGCAGCUUGCAUUGUCAUGAAGACUGGCCAAAUGGUCAGCAACUGAAACAGGAAACUCACAAAGAGAAGUUUUGAAUCCUUCGUGCAAAAUAGAUUCUCUCCUAAGGCUUCCGUCAUGGGUUACCUGCGGGGUCUCCUUCAGAGCACGGCUCAAAGGUGGUCGGGAGGGUGCUGUGUGUACCUGCCUCUUGGGCAACUUGUAAACAGGGUCAUAGGAAGUGGUAGCCAUCCCCCAAAACGGAUCCUGUCAUUAGGAGAUAGUGUCUGAGGUGUCGGUUAAAGAAUCCAGCUGGCAGAGGGUGGAGAUAAUUUCCUAAUUGAAACCGAGAGAGACAAAGAAGAGAGAGGUUUGAUUUGGUGUAACAUUCCCACCUCCUUCAUUUCUCCAAUUAAAAAUCCUGCCUGUUGGUUGCCUUGUGUGGGCUGCUGAUCCGCCGGACGAAGAAAAGGCAGCAGAUUGCAUGUGAAUUUCAAAGUCAUCUUUAAAGAGAUCAGUCGAUCCACUCUUGAUGCCUCUAUUAAAAAUGAGUGAGUCAUAUUGUUCGUCUUCUCCCCAACAGCCGUGAAACUGUUAACUCUCUGAGUUAUCAGAGAAAACAUCCCUGCUCCCCAAACUUUGUUCCAAGUCAACAGUGAAAUUAAUUUUCCAGGGACCUUUGUGCUCAUGACAUCAUAGCAUCGCUGUUCAACGUACAGAUGGAGGAAAGGGCAACACACGUUAAAAUACGUCGAUUCCACCUGAUGAGCAACGUCAGCCCAAAGCUCUUCUUAGCUCUGCGCCAAAAACGUGUGAGGACACAGCGAGGCAACUCACCAGAUAAAUACAAAUGGCUAACAAAGAAGAAGAGUUCACCCUCUGUAGAUAUUCAAGUGUGCAAAUCAGAACAGCACCAAGAUGCUUCUCUUUUGUCUCCUGUUUUUGUCUCCAAACUAUUGAAGCUAUUUGAAAAUAAUUUCCAAUAUUGGUAAGGUAUAAGGAUAAUUACCAUAGCGUUACUAAUAAAAAGAGCCAACACCAUGAUGUUUACUAUGAGCUAGGACUUUUCAAAAGAUGUUGAAAAAAAAUAACAACUCAUUUAAUUCUCACCUCAACUCUAUGAGUUGGAUAGCAUUAUUACUCCCAUUGUAAGCUUGAAGAAACUGAGACAUGGAGAGGUUAAGCGACCUGCCUAAGGUCACACAGCUAAGAAGUGGGUGCCAGCACCUCCCAAUAGAGAUGUUGGAGACGUGUCACUGCCACGAGUGUCUCCUGAGGCUGGAAGAACAGUGGAAGGAGACUUGAUUAGGAGCCAACGACACCAUUCCCUGUUCCAUGGCCUUGGGCACGUUAUGCAACUUCUUGGAGUUUUGAUUUCUUUACCUGAACAAUGGGGAUGAUGUUACUUACCUCAAAGAGAAUUGAGAAGAUCAAAUAUGAUAUAAUACUAUAUAAUAUAAUAUAAUCAAAUAUAAUAGUUUGGCCCUUUGCUAACUCUAGAAUCCUAGGCAAGAUACUGGAGCUAAGACUCAGCCCCCUGCUCUUCUGCGUCUCUGUCAAUUAAGCAAGUGAGCCUGUGUGUUUGAGGAAUAAAGAUCUCAAAGGGUCCAUUUAAGUUGUCAAAAUCACAAGGCUAAAUAAACUUUGGCAAAUUGUCCCUAAAAUGCUUUAACAUAUGCUAAGCUUUUUGCGUGAGCAGUUCCCAUCCUUCUCCAGGAACCCAUCCAGUUUUAACAUGCUUUGAUUCUAUUUUUUCUGAGUUUAUUAUUAUCUAGAGGAUUCCAUUAAAGGCAAGUAACUCUUAAAGUCACACUGUAUCAAAUGAAUUUUCCUUUAGAUGAACUGCCUUACGUAAAUAAAAUGGCUCCUUCUAGACGGAGAGCCAAAGCAAGAGCUUGCUUUUAGGCGCCUAUGUUUUUGCCUAAAAAGAGAAUCUGACUAGCAGCUGUGCCAUUUCCAACCAUUUUAAACAAG
ensembl:lncRNA